CCCCCCCCCCCCCCCCCCCCCCCCCCCCCCCCCCCCCCCCCCCCCCCCCUGUAUCAAUUUUUACCUGAUUUUUUUCUCCAUUUUUUCCCUCAUUUUUUUCUCCAUUUUCCCCCAUUUUUUCUUAAUUUUUCUCCAUUUUUCCCUCAUUUCUUUCUCCAUUUUUUCCUCAUUUUUCUCUAUUUACCUUCAUUUUUUUUCUCAAUUUUUUCCUGACUUUUUCCUGAUUUUUCUCUAUUUUCCCUCAUUUUUUUCUCCAUUUUUUCCUCAUUUUUCUCUAUUUUCCCUCAUCUUUUUCUCCAUUCUUUCCUUAUUUUUUCUGAAUUUUUCUCCAUUUUUUCCUCAUUUUUCUCCAUUUUUCCCUCAUUUUUUCUCAAUUUUUCCCUCAUUUUCUCUAAUUUUCCCCCAUUUUUCUCUUCCUUUUCCUUUAUUUUUUUCUCCAUUUUUUCCCCUUUGCUUUUUCUCCAUUUUUUCAGCUUUUUUCUCUCAUUUUUUCUCUCUUUUCCUCACUUUUCCCUUCAUUUUUUCUCCAUUUUUUCCUUAUUUUUUCUCAUUUUCCCACUUCUUUUCUCUAAUUCUUCCUCAUUUUUUCCUUUAUUUUCCCCUCAGUUUUUUCUCCAUUUUCCACGGUUUUUUCUCAAUUUUUCCACUUUUCCCCUCAUUUUUCUCCAUUUAUUUUUUUCACUUUUCCCGUAUUUUCCCUUAAUUUUCCUCCUUUUCUCCAAUUUUUCCUCAAUUUUCCAUCUUUCCCUUAUUUUUCCUAUUCCUCAAUUUUUUCACAUCAUUCCUUAAUUUUUCUCCAUUUUUUCCUUUUAUUUCCCAAUUUUUUUCCACAUUUUUACCUUUUUCUCUCCACUUUCCACUCAUUUUUCUCCGUUCUUCUUUAAUUUUUUUCUCCUUUUUUCCCACAUUUUCCCCUCAUUUUUCCUUUUUUUAGUCCGUAUUUAUUUCAUUUUUUUCCUCAUUUUUUCCCCAUUUUUUCCUCAUAUUUUCCCUUUUUUGUCCAUUUCUUAUUUUUUCUAAAUUCUCCAUUCUCUCAUUUUUUUCCCACAUUUUCCUUUCUCAUUUUCCAUUUUUUAAAUAAUUUUCUUCCUUAUUUUUCUUCUUUUUUUCUCCAUUUUUCCCUCAUUUUUUCUCCAUUUUUCCUCAUUUUUUCUCCAUUUUUCCUCAUUUUUUUCCUCAUUUUUUCUCCAUUUUUCCUCAUUUUUUUCCUCAUUUUUUCUCCAUUUUUCCUCAUUUUUUUCCUCAUUUUUUCUCCAUUUUUCCUCAUUUUUUUCCUCAUUUUUUCCUCAUUUUUUUCUCCAUUUUUUCUCCAUUUUUCCCUCAUUUUUUCUCCAAUUUUCCCUCAUUUUUUCUCCAUUUUUCCCUCAUUUUUUCUCCAUUUUUCCUCAUUUUUUCUCCAUUUUUCCUCAUUUUUUUCCUCAUUUUUCCCUCAUUUUUUCUCNAUUUUUUCCUCAUUUUUCCCCUAUUCUUCCCUGUAUUCCCCUCAUUUUUUUUUAACUUUUUCUCCAAAUAUUCCCAUUUUUUCCCUCAUUUUCCCCUCAUUUUCCCCUCAUUUCUCUCCAAAUAUUCCCAUUUUACCCCCAAAUUUCCCCCAUUUGUCCCUAUUCUUUCCCUCAUUUUUCUCCAAUUUGUCCCCCAAUUUCCUCUCAUUUUUUUCCAACUUUUUCUCCAAAUAUUCCCAUUUUUCCCCCAAAUUUCCCCCAUUUUUCCCUAUUUUUCCCUCAUUUUCCCCCCUCAUUUUUCCCCUUUUCCCCCAUAUUUUUCCCUAUUUUUUCCCCCAUUUUUCCCUAUUUCUUCCCUAUUUUUCCCCCAAAUUUCUCCCUCAUUUUUCCCAACUCCUCCCCCAUUCUUCCCUAUAUCUCCUCUCAUUUUUUUUCACCUUUUUCUCCAAAUAUUCCCAUUUUUCCCUAUUUUUCCCCCAUUUUUCCCCCUCAUGUCUCCCUACUC
rnacentral:lncRNA from 12 species